GUUUUACACCACUCACCAACCACGUGAACUAUUUAACUUGAAAGGGAGAUGAUAUGUAGCAAUACAUCCCUCUCUCUUCUUUCGAAACACCCCUUUCACCCCUUCUAUAACUAUUGACUGAUCUUUUCUUUGUUGCUCAGCAAUGAGUAUAAUAAGAAAAACCUAAUCAAAUAUCUAAGCACAACUCUUAGCAACGGAUAUCUUGGUUCUCGCAACGAUGAAGAACGCAGCGAAAUGCGAUAUGUAAUGCGAAUUGCAGAAUUCAGUGAAUCAUCAAAUCUUUGAACGCAAAUGGCGGUCUCGGGUUAGUCCUGAGACCACGCCUCUCUCAGUAUCGGUUCAACCUCACCUCGAAUGCGUAUGAUACAUGUGCAAACAUGUGUCAUGCAACCUUCGGAUAAUGAGAGUAAUAUAGCUUUUAAGUAAGCGAGUAUUUCUCCUUAAAUACGUUGAGCUCGGAACAACUAGUAACCCUUAGACGCAAGUCUAAUAGCCUGUUGUGCUAUUUCUCCUUACUAGUGAACGUGGAUAAUUUCAUAUCUUGGCGCAAGCUUUGGUGUGAAUUGAAACGUCUCACACAUGUUUGAAGAAAAUUAUAUAGUGCUUCAGUGUGAACCUUACCUGUCUGUUCUCAUAGCGAUAUUAGAAUUAAUCCAGUAUAAACACUCGUGUUUACACUUUCGAAUUAGAUCUGAGAUGAAGCGAGGAGACCCCCUGAAUUUAAGCAUAUUAUUAAGGGGAGGAAAAGGAACUAACAAGGAUUCCCCCAGUAACGGCGAGUGAAGCGGGAUGAGCUCAAGUUGAUAAUCGGUGAUCCAUGCGGGUCGUUCCGAAUUGUACCCUAGAGACGUGUGAUCAGCGUGUGACCCAGGUCCAAGUCCUUUGGAAGAAGGCAUCAGAGAGGGUGAGAAUCCCGUCCCGAACCUGGAGUUCGCCGCGUACGAUGCAUGUUCACAGAGUCGAGUUGUUUGGGAUUGCAGCUCUAAAACGGUGGUAAGGUUCAUCGAAAGCUAAAUACAGGCGAGAGACCGAUAGCGAACAAGUACCGUGAGGGAAAGAUGAAAAGAACUUUGAAAAGAGAGUUAAAAAGUACUUGAAAUUGCUAAGAGGGAAGCGCUAAAAACCAGUGUGACUGCUCUCAUUCUGCCUAUCCAUCUCUCUGUUUGGCGAUGGUACCUAGUUGGCAACUCUAGGUGCUGUUGUUUAGAUGGAGAGUGGGUGGGUCCUGUGGGAGUAGCGCGUCAGGAUCAGUUCAGACGUGCAGGAGAGGAUGUGGAUAGAAGGUAGGGAUGGCAACAUCCUGUUAUAUCUGUCUCAUUCGACUGUGCUCCGGACUGAGGAAAUAGUAAUGGUGCGCCACUAGGCUUGUACCUCUGUUGCUCUGUAGCACGAAUGGUUUGGAUGACAAUGUCAUGCGGUCGUUCGUGUUGCAUACGCAGUGGAACGUGUCGAUGC
rnacentral:rRNA from 1 species